rnacentral:rRNA from 1 species
GUGGGGAAUAUUGGACAAUGGGCGAAAGCCUGAUCCAGCCAUGCCGCGUGUGUGAAGAAGGUCUUCGGAUUGUAAAGCACUUUAAGUUGGGAGGAAGGGCAUUAACCUAAUACGUUAGUGUUUUGACGUUACCGACAGAAUAAGCACCGGCUAACUCUGUGCCAGCAGCCGCGGUAAUACAGAGGGUGCAAGCGUUAAUCGGAAUUACUGGGCGUAAAGCGCGCGUAGGUGGUUCGUUAAGUUGGAUGUGAAAUCCCCGGGCUCAACCUGGGAACUGCAUCCAAAACAGGCGAGCUAGAGUAGGGCAGAGGGUGGUGGAAUUUCCUGUGUAGCGGUGAAAUGCGUAGAUAUAGGAAGGAACACCAGUGGCGAAGGCGACCACCUGGGCUCAUACUGACACUGAGGUGCGAAAGCGUGGGGAGCAAACAGGAUUAGAAACCCUGGUAGUCC